AACGCACAUUGCGCCCGCCAGUAUUCUGGCGGGCAUGCCUGUUCGAGCGUCAUUUCAACCCUCAAGCCCCAGCGGUUUGGUGUUGGGGACCGGCGAGUACGGAGGCGGGGGGGACUUGUCCCCUCUUCCCUCGGCGCCGCCCCCGAAAUGAAUUGGCGGUCUCGUCGCGGCCUCCUCUGCGUAGUAGCACAACCUCGCAUCAGGAGCGCGGCGCGGCCACUGCCGUAAAACGCCCAACUUUUUUAAGAGUUGACCUCGAAUCAGGUAGGAAUACCCGCUGAACUUAA
rnacentral:misc_RNA from 1 species